rnacentral:lncRNA from 1 species
CUGCAUUAUACAUUAAAGGAAGAUCUUUUCAUUACUUAUGUCUCAUUGAGAACUAAAGUAAUAUCUCCAAAAUAAGAUCAUUUUAUCACUUUAAUUGUUUUUUAUCUUAGGGACUGCAGUUAUGGGUCCUCCUGGCCCCCCUGGCUUUCCUGGAGAAAGGGGCCAGAAAGGUGAUGAAGGUCCACCUGGACUUUCUAUUCCUGGAUCUCCUGGACUUGAUGGACAGCCUGGGGCUCCUGGACUUCCAGGGCCUCCUGGCCCUCCUGGCCCUCAAAUCCCUCCUAGUGAUGAGAUAUGUGAAGCAGGCCCUCCAGGCCCUCCAGGAUCUCCAGGUGAUAGAGGACUCCAAGGAGAACAAGGAGUGAAAGGUUUGAUCCCAAUAGUCAUUCCUUCAUUCUUUCAGAUCAUCAGCAAAAUCCCCUGUAUCCUCCACUCUACCUCAGCUACUCAUUCCCAGGGUCUUACCCCAAGACCAUCUCCUUACCAAUAGUGCACACCUCUGUAAUCUUGAUCUCAUGAGUCCCAUUUCCUGACCACUAUCUCCUGGCUAGCUCACUACCUGUAAUAACCUGACUCCAAUAUCACUUCAGCCACACUGAUACCUUCCAACUUUGACUAUCCCUCAACCUUUUCAUGUCCUUUCUUCCCUCUUCACCUAGGUAAAAUUACAUGAUCCAUCAUUGUAAACAAUCCCAUGCAUAAACCUUGGCCUCCAUUGCCCUCCUCUCACUUCAUUGUACUAACUUGGAACAAAAACCUAGUUUUGGUAAUUCCAAAUUACCACGUCUUCCGAGCCUACACCUUCUCUUCUCUCUUCAAAUUUUUAACACUUUCUCUUCCGUUCUCAUUUUAGUGUUCUGACCUUGCUUCCUUUUUCAUUGACCAAUUGAAGCAGUAAGAGAAUUCUCACAGAUUACUACUACCACAUUUACCCACCACAUUACUUGCAUCUGUGCACGUAUAUUCUUCCUUCCUGCCUAUUAAUUACUGUUACUGCUCCUAUCUAAAGCCAGUUCUUCUAUUUGUACAAUAGAUUCCAUUCCCUCUUGUUUUCCCAAGGAUUUCAUUCCAGAAAUUCCUGCCUCUCCCACAUCAUCAAUUUUUCCCUUUUACUGGAUCAUUCUCAGCAGCACACAAAUACACCUUUCUUUUCACUUAUCUAAAAAAUAACUUAUCAUAAUCCUACUUCCCCUGCCAGAUACUGCUCUAUUCCUCUGCUCCCAUUUGCAACAAAACUCCUUCAGAAUUUUCUAUUCGCUGUCUGUGGAUACUUUUCUCUCAUUUUCUUUUAAGCAUACUUCAGUCAAGAUUUUGCUCCCCUAAUCCACUACUCCAUAGAUGCUGUUUUUGUCAAAGUCACCAGCAGUCUGUACCCUGUUAAUCCAGAUACCAAAUCUCAGUCUUUUUUCCCCACCAUUUUUAAAUACUUUCCUCACUUGGUUUUCAGUAUAUUACAUGUCCUGAG